rnacentral:tRNA from 1 species
UCCCUGGUGGCUGAGAUGGUAAAGCAUCUGUCUACAAUGCAGAAGAUCCGGGUUCGAGCCCUAAGUUGGGAA